GACGAACGCUGGCGGCGUGCUUAACACAUGCAAGUGGAGCGACGAACCGGGCUUCGGCCCGGGGCAGAGCCGCGAACGGGUGAGUAACACGUGGGUAACGUGCCCCGAUGACUGGGACAACCCGGGGAAACCCGGGCUAAUACCAGAUGUGCCCUACCACCAUCAGGUGGUCGGGGAAAGGUAGCUUCGGCUUCCGCAUCGGGAUCGGCCCGCGGCCCAUUAGCUUGUUGGUGGGGUAAUGGCCCACCAAGGCUGCGAUGGGUAGCUGGUCUGAGAGGACGAUCAGCCACACUGGGACUGAGACACGGCCCAGACUCCUACGGGAGGCAGCAGUGGGGGAAUCUUGCGCAAUGCGCGAAAGCGUGACGCAGCAACGCCGCGUGAGGGAAGACGGCCU
rnacentral:rRNA from 1 species